GACCUGGCUGGGUGGUCCGCCUAACGGUGUGUACUGCUCGGCUGGGCCUUACCUCUUGGUGAUCCAGCGUGCCCUUCACUGGGUGCGUUGGGGAACCAGGACCUUUACCUUGAGAAAAUUAGAGUGUUCAAAGCAGGCCUAUGCCCGAAUACAUUAGCAUGGAAUAAUAAAAUAGGACGU
rnacentral:rRNA from 1 species